UACGUAGGUGGCAAGCGUUGUCCGGAUUUAUUGGGCGUAAAGCGAGUGCAGGCGGUUCAAUAAGUCUGAUGUGAAAGCCUUCGGCUCAACCGGAGAAUUGCAUCAGAAACUGUUGAACUUGAGUGCAGAAGAGGAGAGUGGAACUCCAUGUGUAGCGGUGGAAUGACGUAGAUAUAGUGGAAGAACACCAGUGGCGAAGGCGGCUCUCUGGUCUGCAACUGGACGCUGAGGCUCGAAAGCAUGGGUAGCGAACAGG
rnacentral:rRNA from 1 species